AAAAACAAUAAAUAUAAGUAACGUUAAUGAAAAGAGUUUUAAAAAUAUAGAAAUUUUAUUAGAAAGACGACAGCGUUCAUGAAAAAUGAACAGAGCAUAUCAGAACAUUCUAUCCUCAGCAUUAACCAGGAUUUACUAUCUUCAUUGACAAAUCAUGAAAUAUAAGCAUUAUUGGAAGUUUUGUGGCAUGACAAACAAUUUGUCAAGUUUAAGACACAUGGAACACAUGGAACACAUAUACAAGAGAUGAUGCUGCUACGGCUUUUAAAAUACUUCUUGGUGAGUGAGUUGCUUCCAUCUUAUUAAUAAAUUGCUCUCAUCUAUAGAGUUUCAUGCUCAAAAAAAGCUUAUUUUGCGACAAGCUGAGUGCUAUCGGACUCUGGAUUUGAAAAUAUAAUUAAUACGAAUAAAUGAUAUAACUAUUGUUAUCAUUGACUUGAAACAAUUUUUGUAAAUUGCAUUACACGACUUAACUGAUUGUUCUUAUAGAUAUUAGUUAUAAUAUUUCUAUUGUGGAAGUAUUUAUAUUAUUUUUAAAUUAUUUGCAAAGUUCCCACUACAUAAACCGAUUGGUUUCCACCAGCUUAUCAGUAAUAAAAAGCACAUGUUUUGAAAGUGUUGAAAAUUUGUC